UCCAGUCAACCUCAUCCAAUAAGAAAUGAAUGGCCAGAAACAGAUUGAGAAAAGGAUACCGCAAUACCUAGACUAGACAAGACACCCUCACUCUGUACGGCUAUAAAAUACCUCCCCCAAAAGCCGUUGCUUCGUUACUAGUUAGCACUAUGCAAAAUGAACAGAGGUUUCAAACACAACUGGAUUGCAAAAUGCAUCACAGUGCUACCAAAAU